ensembl:rRNA 5S_rRNA 5S ribosomal RNA
GCUUACGGCCAUACCACCCUGAGAACGCCUGAUCUCGUCUGAUCUCGGAAGCUAAGCAGGGUCGGGCCUGGUUAGUACUUGGAUGGGAGACCGCCUGGGAAUACCAGGUGCUGUAAGCU